AAACGGAGGCAGCAUUCAGUGAACCCCGACAUCGGCUUCCCCAUCAGCAGGUAUGAAGGCCACGGUCCUGGGCUGCCUGUCUGCCUCUCUCUCUCCAGGACAGCCUCCGCUGCCUCCGACAGGAUAUUGGCUGUACUCUGUCUAAACUCUGGGUAUAUGCAGUUUCUAGCCGAAGAUCAACUGCAUGUCAGCAUACUAUUAGUCAUCUUUAAUAAAAGAAAACAGAUGGCUUUAGACGAGAUAUAUUCUGGACUGCUGCAGAGAGCAGGGAUAUGAUACACUGUGGCCUGGGAGUCCUCCCCCAAGUAGUCCGGCUCUGCCUCAGGAAGAAGCCUCAAGGCCUCGGAGGUCCAGGCAGGCAGUGGGGAGCCAGGGCACCUGAAGGAGCUGGGACAUUUCUUAGAGAUAAGCAUGCACACACUUGGAACUCCCCCGUGUCAUGUGUUCUGCAGCCCUCACUGGCUUCAUGCAGCCCACCCUCCAGAUUCUGGAAGAGGAAUGCAGAGAAACUGGCUCAUACCAGACCAAGGUUUUGAAUGUAUUUGAAGUUGAUUCACUUUUAAGAUUUAAUGGCUACCAUGUUGAGCCCCCCGAUUCUAGGCAGAGAAAGCAGCAUGAGCAGAUGCACUGAAGAUGGGGAGCAUGAGAACUUGCUUUGGUGGUGGCUUCUUCUCUGGUCUGGAGUAAAGUGGAUGAUGAAGUGCAAGUGACAGUAAAUGCAUUAAUCAGGGAUCUUCAAAGAAACAGAACCACAAUAG